UGGGGAACCUGUCCCAUAGUCUGGGAUACCACUUGGAAACAGGUGCUAAUACCGGAUAAGAAAGCGGAUCGCAUGAUCAGCUUUUAAAAGGCGGCGUAAGCUGUCGCUAUGGGAUGGCCCCGCGGUGCAUUAGCUAGUUGGUAAGGUAAAGGCUUACCAAGGCGAUGAUGCAUAGCCGAGUUGAGAGACUGAUCGGCCACAUUGGGACUGAGACACGGCCCAAACUCCUACGGGAGGCAGCAGUG
rnacentral:rRNA from 1 species